GCUUUACACUGAACAUUGAAUUUUGAUGUGUAGGAUAGGUGGGAGACUUAGAAGUAGGAACGCCAGUUUCUAUGGAGUCGACCUUGAAAUACCACCCUUUAACGUUUGAUGUUCUAACGAAGAUUGCGGAACGCGGUCUCGGACAGUGUCUGGUGGGUAGUUUGACUGGGGCGGUCUCCUCCCAAAGCGUAACGGAGGAGCACGAAGGUUUGCUAAUCACGGUCGGACAUCGUGAGGUUAGUGCAAUGGUAUAAGCAAGCUUAACUGCGAGACAGACAAGUCGAGCAGGUACGAAAGUAGGUCAUAGUGAUCCGGUGGUUCUGAAUGGAAGGGCCAUCGCUCAACGGAUAAAAGGUACUCCGGGGAUAACAGGCUGAUACCGCCCAAGAGUUCAUAUCGACGGCGGUGUUUGGCACCUCGAUGUCGGCUCAUCACAUCCUGGGGCUGAAGUAGGUCCCAAGGGUAUGGCUGUUCGCCAUUUAAAGUGGUACGCGAGCUGGGUUUAGAACGUCGUGAGACAGUUCGGUCCCUAUCUGCCGUGGGCGUAGGAUGAUUGAUUGGGGCUGCUCCUAGUACGAGAGGACCGGAGUGGACGCAUCACUGGUGUUCCAGUUGUGUCGCCAGAGGCAUUGCUGGGUAGCUAAAUGCGGAAGAGAUAAGUGCUGAAAGCAUCUAAGCACGAAACUUGCCAAGAGAUGAGUCAUCCCUGACUUUAAGUCAGUAAGGGUUGUUGUAGACUACGACGUAGAUAGGUUGGGUGUGUAAGUGAUGUGAGUCAUUGAGCUAACCAAUACUAAUUGCCCGAGAGGCUUAACUAUACAACGCUCAAG
rnacentral:rRNA from 1 species